rnacentral:rRNA from 1 species
UACGUAGGAAGCAAGCGUUGUCCGGAAUCAUUGGGCGUAAAGAGCGCGUAGGCGGCCCUGUAAGUCCGUUCUGAAAGUCAAAGGCUCAACCUUUGAAAGCGGAUGGAUACUGCAGGGCUAGAGUCCGGAAGAGGCGAGUGGAAUUCCUGGUGUAGCGGUGAAAUGCGUAGAUAUCUGGAGGAACACCGGUGGCGAAGGCGGCAUCCUCGGACCGG